GAUUAACGCUAGCGGCAGGCCUAAUACAUGCAAGUCGAACGGGAUUCAAAGUAGCAAUAUUUUGAUGAGAGUGGCGCACGGGUGAGUAACACGUAUGCAAUUUACCUUUAACUGGGGGAUAGCCCUCCGAAAGGAGGAUUAAUACCGCAUAAUAUAUUGAAAUGGCAUCAUUUUAAUAUUAAACCUACGGGGGUUAAAGAUGAGCAUGCAUCCGAUUAGCUAGUUGGUGUGGUAACGGCUCACCAAGGCAACGAUCGGUAGGGGGUCUGAGAGGAUGAUCCCCCACACUGGUACUGAGACACGGACCAGACUCCUACGGGAGGCAGCAGUAAGGAAUAUUGGACAAUGGAGGCAACUCUGAUCCAGCCAUGCCGCGUGAAGGAUUAAGGCCCUAUGGGUUGUAAACUUCUUUUAGACGGGACAAAACCCCUUUACGUGUAAAGGGUUGAUGGUACUGUCAGAAUAAGCAUCGGCUAACUUCGUGCCAGCAGCCG
rnacentral:rRNA from 1 species